rnacentral:rRNA from 1 species
CCUACGGGAGGCAGCAGUGAGGAAUAUUGGUCAAUGGACGAAAGUCUGAACCAGCCAAGUAGCGUGAGGGAUGACUGCCCUCUGGGUUGUAAACUUCUUUUCUAGAGGAAUAAAACGAGGCACGUAUGCCUUUUUGCAUGUACUUUAUGAAUAAGGAUCGGCUAACUCCGUGCCAGCAGCCGCGGUAAUACGGAGGAUCCGAGCGUUAUCCGGAUUUAUUGGGUUUAAAGGGAGAGUAGAUGGGUUGUUAAGUCAGUUGUGAAAGUUUGCGGCUCAACCGUAAAAUUGCAAUUGAUACUGGCAGUCUUGAGUACAGUAGAGGGAGGCGGAACUCGUGGUGUAGCGGUGAAAUGCUUAGAUAUAACGAAGAACCCCGAUUGCGAAGGCAGCUUACUAGACUGUGACUGACACUGAUGCUCGAAAGUGUGGGUAUCAAACAGGAUUAGAUACCCGGGUAGUC